UGGCCUCGCAGCCUUCAUUCCUUUACACGAGCUCGUGCCGAGGCAGUUCCAAGAUCCGUGUGGUUCGCGUCCGAAAAGCCUGAUGUAUUCGCUAAAAUCGUUCAAAAACCGCAGAAAAUCUUGUUAAAUCAACCGUCGCGACCCCCGGGUGACGCGUAUCGUGCGUGAGCGUGAGUUAAAGAUCCAGAGUCGUGUCUCGUGUGUGCGUGCGUGUGCAGAAGAACGAGGAAGAACGAGGUCACCGCGGCAGCAGAACCAGUGUGUGUGUGCUUGAAAAAAAUCACAGCCAGUAAUCACAGCCAGAAGUAAGCCAACCCAGCAGAAGCAGCAAGAUGUCUUUCGAGGAAACUUCCGCCGAUCGCAAUGUGGAGAUCUGGAAGAUCAAGAAGCUUAUCAAGAGCUUGGAGAUGGCCCGAGGAAAUGGCACCAGCAUGAUUUCGCUGAUCAUCCCGCCGAAGGACCAGAUCAGCCGGGUGAGCAAGAUGCUGGCGGACGAGUUCGGCACGGCGUCCAACAUCAAGUCCCGCGUGAACCGUCUGUCCGUGCUCGGUGCCAUCACCUCGGUCCAGCACCGGCUCAAACUAUACACCAAAGUGCCUCCGAAUGGACUCGUGAUCUACUGCGGUACGAUCGUCACCGAAGAGGGCAAAGAGAAGAAGGUCAACAUUGACUUUGAACCGUUCAAACCGAUCAAUACCUCUUUAUACUUAUGCGAUAAUAAAUUCCACACCGAAGCGCUGACGGCCCUGCUCGCGGACGACAAUAAGUUCGGUUUCAUCGUGAUGGACGGUAACGGUGCGCUGUUCGGUACACUUCAGGGCAACACCCGCGAGGUUCUGCACAAAUUCACCGUGGACCUGCCGAAGAAGCACGGCCGUGGUGGUCAGUCCGCGUUGCGUUUCGCGCGUCUGCGUAUGGAGAAGCGUCACAACUACGUGCGCAAGGUCGCCGAGGUGGCCACCCAGCUGUUCAUCACCAACGACAAGCCAAACAUUGCCGGCCUCAUCCUGGCCGGUAGUGCCGACUUCAAGACCGAGCUCAGCCAGUCGGACAUGUUCGAUCCGCGAUUGCAAUCGAAAGUGAUCAAACUGGUGGACGUGUCGUACGGCGGGGAGAACGGUUUUAACCAGGCCAUCGAGCUGGCAGCUGAAUCACUGCAGAACGUAAAGUUCAUCCAGGAGAAGAAACUGAUUGGGCGAUACUUUGACGAAAUUUCACAGGACACCGGCAAGUACUGCUUCGGCGUGGAGGACACGCUCAAGGCGCUGGAACUGGGCUCGGUCGAGACGCUGAUCUGCUGGGAGAACUUGGACAUUCAACGCUACGUGCUCAAGAACCACGUCAGUGCGACGUCCACAACAGUAUUGCACCUGACCCCGGAGCAGGAGAAGGACAAGUCGCACUUCACUGACAAGGAGAGUGGCGUCGAGAUGGAACUGGUCGAAUCUCAACCGCUGUUGGAAUGGCUCGCCAACAACUACAAGAGCUUCGGUGCUACUUUGGAAAUUAUCACUGACAAGUCCCAGGAGGGCAGCCAGUUUGUGCGAGGAUUUGGUGGAAUUGGAGGAAUUCUCCGCUACAAAGUCGACUUCCAGUCGCUCCAGGCCGACGAGCCGCUGGACGACGUUGACCUUGACGAUUACUAAAUCAAUUACGAUUCGGACAAACACUUUCUUGUGCUCUUUGAGGGACUACACGACGCGAGAAGCAGACACAACUUUCUAGGUACUCUUUCCAAACUUGUAAUCAGCCGAAAUGGUCGCGUUCCAAAAGCCGAUAAACUACUUAGAGAAACCAAACUGAGCAGAAAAUUUAUUAAAAAAAAACACCAGAUUACGCGGAAAAAAGUUAGUUUUGUGCAACCAAUUUCUCUCCAAUAACAAACAAACAAAAUACGAAAGCCACAUUCGAUUCGAUUUUAAUAAAGGUAAACAAGCAAACAAACAAGCAAAAAUCCGGAUAGCAAACAUCAAACACACAAAACACACCCACAACACAACUUACAAACAUGUAUGAAAUUAGUUAAUAUAAUCAGUAAAUUCUAUGCGGGCAAAAGCUGAUAAAAUGUGUUGAAAAACAGAAGUCGGUUCCGAGCCUACCGUGAGCAGCGUGUAUUUAGGUAAAAAGCGAACAAACCAAAAAAAAAACAUAAGGAAAAACUAUUUAUAUAAAUAUUGGCGGGCAUCUUCCGGGAGCGGCUCACACCACUUCCGGCGGAGCGCCUCGUUUUAUGCUGAUAUAUCAUUCAAGAAACAAACUAACAAACAAACAAAAAAUACCGUGUAUAAUAACAAUUGCAACUCGAAUUCGUCUCCAAACCGCGUAACAUUUGAACAAUGAAUAGUUGAGAGGGCGCGCGCGCGAGUCACAUUUCUUUGCCCUGCGAAAGAUUCGUUUUCUUUGCCAGCGAAUUUAGGUGUACUUGUACCGAAGUGUGAGGAGAGAAGCUUCCGUGAAACAUUUAGAACUUAGUACCAGAUACAGGAAAUAAUAGACGAGUAUCGAGAGGGGAGGAAAUUUAGAAACGACACAACAACACACUUAAAACUCACAAAUUCUUUCACGAAUCACACAAAUGACACACGGUUGACUUUUUUCAAUACAUUCGAACGUUGAGGCACCCCUGCACGCACAUCGCUACUGAUGGUUUUGAUAGGAAUAAGGUUGUUUGCGCUACAAGGUCGAUUUCCAAAGUAUGCAACUAGAUGAAUUGGACAACGAUGCUUUCGAUUUAGAGGAUUAUUAAAAUAUUUUUUUUAUGUUUAUGAAAGUAUCAGUUAUACAACAAACACAUACACACACACAGGUUAAAAAAUAUACAACAACAAAAGAGAAAAGACACUUCGGUGUGGAGCAAAAUCAUCCAGCUUUGUUUUGUUUUUUUCUUAUUUGUGUGAUGUAGAUGAAAAGAAACGAAGAAGACAACAUUUUCUGGCGCCCCCCUCUAGCUCGAAACGAUCGCCGGUCACCCAAGUCCGCCUUUUAGUCAGCAGUGGAUCGUUUUUGUCGAGCAGUUUUUUGACUAACCUAGAGAAUAAAGUAAAGAAGGUAGUGCACGUCCGUCGUCCAGCGCAAUAGAAGAAGUUAGGGAGAAAAAUAGAUCGCGGCUCCGUUUGACAAUUCCUAUCCCCUCAAACACGGUGAAACACUUUUUAAUUCGGUCCUACAUAAAGUAAGGGAUGUCACUACAAGUUUAAGUUAGUAAGAGAAAAGUUAUUCUGAGAAAGCAAAUCGUGAUCACGCGCGGCGCAGAAAUCUAGUACUAGAAGAAGAAAAAAAAAAAAGAGCUCCGUUUUAAAGUAGCACGCGUGCGGCAAAUUCCGGAAUUCAACCGAUUCCACCCACCCCGGGGGAGUGUCGUCACCUUCCAUCCGUUUGACCACAGAACCUUCGUGGGGAGGAACGGAUUGCCUUCGGUUAAUCAUUGUUCAAUUGUAACACACUCCUAGUAUACUUAAUAGAAGUUUUUGUUUUUCGUUUUUCAUUUGGCGGAUUAUUAUUGCUCUUAUUCCGGCUGACAACUUCACUUUAACUACUGCUUCAAGGCAAAGGGAACAGAAAUUCCGCAGAAAAAAAAAUGCAUCCCCUUAGAACGUAAAAACAACACAACCACACAAACACCUUUGUAUUAGUUGAGGAAAACUCGUUUUGACUACAGCCACAAAACUUUUAAAUUCACAUUCAAAUCAGAGAAAACCAGAAAAUUGUUAUUAUAUAUUAUAAAAAAAAAUAUUAUAAAAUGAUAUAUUACAUAAAAAGAAGAUAUUUAUAUAAAAAGGAAAUGAAAAAA